CCAGGUACUUAGUGACUCUCAAGUAGGCAUUGCCAUUUAACGCUGAGGGUUACUUUGUGCCUAAGC
rnacentral:pre_miRNA from 1 species